GGCAAGGUGGCCGAGUGGUCUAAGGCGCACGGUUCAGGUUUACCUGGACUUUCACGACUUUCUUAUGAAGAAGUUUCCGUGUCAUUAAUUUGGCGUGGGUUCGAAUCCCACCCUUGUCA